ACUCAGUUGACAAGUCCCAAAUAGGACGAAACGCGAGUCAAACUGGAU
rnacentral:hammerhead_ribozyme from 1 species